UUUAGCUAGACAUAAGUUAAAAACAAUGAAAAAGCCCAAUGUAUUCUUGUGCUUCCUCUUGUUUUUGUUCUUCACAAGCAUUUGUCAGGGAGCUAGAACUAGAAAACCUGGGACUUGGUGUGUUGCAAAUUGGUUUGUAAGUGAUGAGGAAUUAAAGGCUUAUCUUGAUGAAAAAUGUCAAAUACCAAAUGUUUGUAGAGGCAUUCAACCUGGAAAACCUUGCUUUGAGCCUAAUGAAACUCAUAGUCAUGCUUCCUAUAUUCUUUAAGAAACAUCAUCUUCCAUGUCCGGAAAAUCUCGGCUGGAUAGUAUAUAUGAAUCCCUCAUAUGGAGAUUGUAGGUAUAAUUGAAGUUUCUCAACAAGAGAGUUCCUUCAAACAGAGGAUGCAAAGUUCUCUAAUUUGUAUUAAUUAAGAUAAUUGUAAUCAUGAAGCAUCGUCGAUUAAAAAAUGUUUGCUUUUUAGAUCAUCUAUUAAUCAUUUUAGCAAAUGUAUAGUAGAUGAUCCUCUAUUUUUAGUUUCUUUAUGAAAUAUAUUUGAGCUAUUAAAGCAGUC